UACGGAGGGGGCAAGCGUUAUCCGGAUUCACUGGGUUUAAAGGGUGCGUAGGUGGGUUUGUAAGUCAGUGGUGAAAUCUCCAAGCUUAACUUGGAAACUGCCGUUGAUACUAUAAAUCUUGAAUGUUGUGGAGGUGAGCGGAAUAUGUCAUGUAGCGGUGAAAUGCUUAGAUAUGACAUAGAACACCAAUUGCGAAGGCAGCUCACUACACAAAGAUUGACACUGAGGCACGAAAGCGUGGGGAUCAAACAGG
rnacentral:rRNA from 1 species